UGGUAAACAGAGUGGUGAGAGACUAUGAGUGGUAAACAGAGUGGUGAGAGACUAUGAGUGGUAAACAGAGUGGUGAGAGACUAUGAGUGGUAAACAGAGUGGUAAACAGUGUGGUGAGAGACUAUGAGUGGUAAACAGAGUGGUAAACAGUGGUGAGAGACUAUGAGUGGUAAACAGAGUGGUGAGAGACUAUGAGUGGUAAACAGAGUGGUAAACAGUGUGGUGAGAGACUAUGAGUGGUAAACAGAGUGGUAAACAGAGUGGUGAGAGACUAUGAGUGGUAAACAGAGUGGUGAGAGACUAUGAGUGGUAAACAGAGUGGUAAACAGUGUGGUGAGAGACUAUGAGUGGUAAACAGAGUGGUGAGAGACUAUGAGUGGUAAACAGAGUGGUAAACAGAGUGGUGAGAGACUAUGAGUGGUAAACAGAG